UACGUAGACCUCGAGCGUUAUCCGGAUUUACUGGGCGUAAAGGGCGCGUAGGCGGCCAGCGCAAGUCAGUUGUGAAAUCUCCGGGCUUAACUCGGAAAGGUCAACUGAUACUGCGCGGCUAGAGUGCAGAAGGGGCAACUGGAAUUCUCGGUGUAGCGGUGAAAUGCGUAGAUAUCGAGAGGAACACCUGCGGCGAAGGCGGGUUGCUGGGCUGACACUGACGCUGAUGCGCGAAAGCCAGGGGAGCGAACGGG
rnacentral:rRNA from 1 species